rnacentral:rRNA from 1 species
AUUGAACGCUGGCGGCAGGCCUAACACAUGCAAGUCGAACGCGUGGCGGACGGGUGAGUAAUGUCUGGGAAACUGCCUGAUGGAGUGGGAUAACUACCGGAAACGGUAGCUAAUACCGCACACCAUCAGAUGUGCCCAGAUGGGAUUAGCUUGUUGGGAGGGUACCGGAUCACCAAGGCGACGAUCCCUAGCUGGUCUGAGAGGAUGACCAGCCACACUGGAACUGGGACACGGUCCCGACUCCUACGGGAGGCAGCAGUGGGGAAUCUUGCACAAUGGGAGCAAGCCUGAUGCAGCCAUGCCGCGUGUAUGAAGAAGGCCUUCGGGUUGUAAAGGACUGUCAGCGGGGAGGCGUUACCCGCAGAAGAAGCACCGGCUAACUCCGUGCCAGCAGCCGCGGUAAUUC